rnacentral:rRNA from 1 species
AGAGUUUGAUCCUGGCUCAGAACGAACGCUGGCGGCGUGCCUAACACAUGCAAGUCGAACGGAAUUGAGGGGCUUGCUCUUCAAUUUAGUGGCGCACGGGUGAGUAACGCGUAGAUAAUCUGCCUGAUGAUCUGGGAUAACACUUCGAAAGAGGUGCUAAUACCGGAUAAGCCCACGGAGUCUUUGGAUUCUGCGGGAAAAGGGGGGGACCUUCGGGCCUUCUGUCAUCAGAUGAGUCUGCGUACCAUUAGCUAGUUGGUAGGGUAAUGGCCUACCAAGGCUACGAUGGUUAGCUGGUCUGAGAGGAUGAUCAGCCACACUGGAACUGAGACACGGUCCAGACUCCUACGGGAGGCAGCAGUGGGGAAUCUUGCGCAAUGGGCGAAAGCCUGACGCAGCAACGCCGCGUGCGGGAUGAAGGCCUUCGGGCUGUAAACCGCUUUCAGCAGGAACGAAAAUGACGGUACCUGCAGAAGAAGGAGCGGCCAACUACGUGCCAGCAGCCGCGGUGACACGUAGGCUCCAAGCGUUGUCCGGAUUUAUUGGGCGUAAAGAGCUCGUAGGCGGUUUAGUAAGUCGGGUGUGAAAACUCUGGGCUUAACCCAGAGACGCCAUCCGAUACUGCUGUGACUUGAGUUCAGGAGGGGAGCGGGGAAUUCCUAGUGUAGCGGUGAAAUGCGCAGAUAUUAGGAGGAACACCGGUGGCGAAGGCGCCGCUCUGGACUGAAACUGACGCUGAGGAGCGAAAGCAUGGGUAGCAAACAGGAUUAGAUACCCUGGUAGUCC